rnacentral:rRNA from 1 species
UACCGAGGUCUCAAGCGUUGUUCGGAUUCAUUGGGCGUAAAGGGUGCGUAGGCGGCGCGGUAAGUCGGGUGUGAAAUCUCGGAGCUUAACUCCGAAACUGCAUUCGAUACUGCGGUGCUUGAGGACUGGAGAGGAGACUGGAAUUCAUGGUGUAGCAGUGAAAUGCGUAGAGAUCAUGAGGAAGACCAGUGGCGAAGGCGGGUCUCUGGACAGUACCUGACACUGAGGCACGAAGGCCAGGGGAGCAAACGGG